AAACAAUAGCAUUUUUAUGCAUAUCGGUUUCGGCCCGAUAAGAGCGCACCACGCAUUGUUUU
rnacentral:tRNA from 1 species